UACGUAGGGUGCGAGCGUUGUCCGGAAUUAUUGGGCGUAAAGAGCUCGUAGGCGGUGUGUCACGUCGGCCGUGAAAACCUGCAGCUUAACUGUGGGCGUGCGGUCGAUACGGGCAUCACUGGAGUUCGGCAGGGGAGACUGGAAUUCCUGGCGUAGCGGUGAAAUGCGCAGAUAUCAGGAGGAACACCGGUGGCGAAGGCGGUUCUCUGGGCAUUACCUGACGCUGAGGAGCGAAAGCAUGGGUAGCGAACAGG
rnacentral:rRNA from 1 species